UACAGAGGGGGCAAGCGUUAUUCGGAAUUAUUGGGCGUAAAGGGCGCGUAGGCGGCCUGGCAAGUGGAAGGUGAAAUCCCUCGGCUUAACCGAGGAACUGCCCUCCAAACUGCUUGGCUUGAGACCGGGAGAGGUGAGUGGAAUUCCCAGUGUAGCGGUGAAAUGCGUAGAUAUUCGGAAGAACACCAGUGGCGAAGGCGGCUCACUGGACCGGCAUUGACGCUGAGGUGCGAAAGCGUGGGGAGCAAACAGG
rnacentral:rRNA from 1 species